CUGACAUCCCGCUGAGCUGCAGGAGACUUUCUCUGGACAGAGUGGUGGCCAAGGUGAGGACACAGCUUGUCUUGCUCUGUGGGGGCCCUGCUGUUCCUCCUUGUCCUCUCCAAAAGCCAGGAGGAUGCUCUGCCACAAGAAGUCUGGGCAGGUGUAUUGUUUUUUUAACACAGGAAAGAAGUCCUGCUACUGUAAGUCUGCUUAUCCUCAAGUGGAACAGUUUUGAUGGGAAGCAUAAGGCACCUCACUUUCCAGAGCCACCACACAGAGUAUCUGAAUUUAAAACCCCACAAAGUGGGAAAGACCUAAGCUGCUGAACUCUAAGUUGCUCUUAACGUGCUUUCUUUAAGAGUUUGGGCCCUUCCUUCAGCUGGCUGGAGAAGAGCUGCUUUUCCUCAGUUUAAACACAACAACUGAUGUCUUCUUUCCCAUUCCUCCAAAACAUGACUGGAUUUAUAACACAGCAAGUCCAGAAGAAUAUCUCACAUCAGGAUUCUCGGGUUGAAGCUCUUACAGCACAAAACAUUUACCUGUAUGAAAACACUGGAGGCACAGAAACCAAAAUGGUUUGGAUUUCUCAACUGGCAUAGGUCACUAUAUUUUGUACUGGAAAUCUCCUUUCAGUCCUUACAUUUCAACUCUUCAGCUCCUCUGUGCUACAGGGAGCAGACUAUUAAAUCUACAGACUGAGGAAAACUGGGUUUGAGGGUUUUCUUUAAUUGGUAUGUUCAUAGUACAGAACUAUGGCAGCAGCAUCUUGAAAAAUGAGGACAUGAAUAUGCACGAUAAAACCAGCCCAGGGUAAUUAAUCCUUGCAAGAAGAGACCUUCUUGUCUCUGCACAGAAUGAAAGCAAAUGCAAGUGAAAUAUCCAGAAACCCCAAAAUCAAAUUAGGACUGUAAUGUGUGCAAGGCAAAAAGGAUGAUCAAAGGACUGAGUGGGAACUAAAGCUUAAGACCUAUGAACUCUGAAGUUUUUAUUGAU